rnacentral:rRNA from 1 species
UACGUAGGGUGCGAGCGUUGUCCGGAAUUAUUGGGCGUAAAGGGCUCGUAGGCGGUUUGUCGCGUCGGGAGUGAAAUCCACUGGCUUAACUUGUGGCUUGCUUUCGAUACGGGCAGACUGGAGGUAUGCAGGGGAGAACGGAAUUCCUGGUGUAGCGGUGGAAUGCGCAGAUAUCAGGAGGAACACCGGUGGCGAAGGCGGUUCUCUGGGCAUUACCUGACGCUGAGGAGCGAAAGUGUGGGGAGCGAACAGG